CACGUAGGGCGCAAGCGUUGUCCGGAAUUAUUGGGCGUAAAGAGCUCGUAGGCGGUUUGUUGCGUCCGCUGUGAAAACUCGGGGCUUAACCCCGAGCCUGCAGUGGAUACGGGCAGACUAGAGGUAGGUAGGGGAGAAUGGAAUUCCCGGUGUAGCGGUGAAAUGCGCAGAUAUCGGGAGGAACACCGGUGGCGAAGGCGGUGCUCUGGGCCUUACCUGACGCUGAGGAGCGAAAGCGUGGGGAGCGAACAGG
rnacentral:rRNA from 1 species